ACCAAAAAAAAUCAAAUACAAUUUGAAAUUCUAUAAUAUGGCAUUUCAUACAAAUCAAUCCUACCUAUAUGUUUUAUGCAUUAUUUUGAUCAUCAGUUCAGGAUCUGUUACCAGUAUUGUGGUUCCUCCGGGGGGAGUAUGUAUAGGACCUUGCUUGCGAUAAGGAUUGUCAUGCUAAAGGAUUUGAAAAAGGUGGACAAUGUUUUACUCGUCUUGUAACGGCAACUUGUUGUUGUUUUCACAAAUGAGUUUAAAAUGUAUGUAACAAAAAUAUGAUGUAUGAUUGUCAUCAAAAUAAAUAAAAGAUGUGCUUGAAUCUGGCUUUUAAACUUAUAA